UCUCUCUUCUGCUCUGACUUGUAGCUAAAGCUCAAGGCUGUCUUUCAUCUCUGCCACCUUAGCCUGUGCAUGCAAAAGAGGAGAAGAUUGCUCCAGAGAAUCCGCAACUCACCCAAGGGCAAAGAAAUGCUUUGUGGAAGUUUUCAGCCUAUGUGCAAAUCUUGUAAUUAUAGAGCUGAACUCAAGAUAGAAGACGGAUUUUUUUUCUUCCCUUCAAAUCUUAGAGAUCUAGGUUAUCCUGAUGGAAGCCUCCUAUUCUCUGCAAUUCACCCCUGCUUUCCAGUGGGAUGUGGUUUACAUUGCUGGCUGCAAACUGGAAGGUAGUGGCUUACAGCUGCUGUUGUCAUCCAAACCCUGGAGAUCUCCAGAUUUCCUUUUUCAUAAGGACACCAUUAUAUGGCACUGCAGAUCCACCCUAUUCCACCGACCACAUGGUCACAUUCUGCAGCACCGGGAGCUCAGAAUUCCACAACAAGUAA